CAAUCUCAUCCUCUCGUCCCACUCCAAACCAGUCGCUAAACAACCCUAGCCCUUUCCCCUCGAUCCUCACGGCCCCCUCUCCUCCUUGUUCAUCACCACCGCUUCCUUCUACCCCCCUCCACCCUGCCUUCCUUCUCUUCAUUGUCGAGCCGAGGGCCUCGCCCAGGCGGCCGCCGCCGGGCUCGGCCCCGCCGCCUCCCGCCACAACUGUGCGCACGGUCAACAAGGAUCUCUGGGCUGCCGCCACCGGCCGGGGGAGAACGGAUGGAAGAGCAGAAGAAUCGCCCUCCGACCAUGUCGUUGGCGACCGAUGAUAGAUAGCCCAAUCGAUCUACCUCGUCUCAUGUUGAGGUGCGUUCUUGUUUUUUCCAUGUGAUGUUCAUCGUUCCUCCCUGCCUCCUGCUUCUCCAUCCAUCGAUUCGGCCUAGGCGACGGGGAUCAAGAUCCGAGGCGGCACACAUCAUCCUCCCAUUUCCCCUCUGCCUACCAUCGAACCUAGAGAUGACAGUGGCAAGGAGCAUGAGAGGGGUCAUUGGAUGAGGUGGUCCAUGUUGAGGAAGAGGGUGUCUGUCGUGAUUGUUUUCCUCUCUUGCUUGAUCCGAUUUUGUGGUCAAAACAAGGGAUCUGAUUUGAUGUUGAUUUUCCUCUUCGAGUUCUUGUCCAUGGCCUUGUUGUGGUUGCACCAUGGUCCAUGGGGAACAAUAAGAACACCUCUGCUACAACUAAAGUCUGGACCUCCACCAAGAAUGACAUCUCUAGGUGACUCUACACAAUUGCAUCUUUAAUUUGUACAUCCAUUUGGUUGCAUAGUACAUAUUUUGGUCUUUUGUCCAUGUUUUGUUGACUUCAUUUGUGGCUAGCUUACUGUAGCGUGAUUUACUGACUCAUCUAUCAUGGGUGCUUGCCAAGGUGAAGUGCCCACUAGAUUCAAAUUUCCUUCAACAAAGAUCAUGCCAUUAAAAAUGUGUAACUAUGUAUGGCACAACAAAGUUUACAUUUUGUGUAUUAAGCUAGUUAGGCUCCUUUCAGUGUUGUUCUCCCAAUUAGACGCUCAUUACCCUCUCUAAUAUGGCAGUUCAACCUUCAAUAAUUAGGUUAUUAUGAUUUUGUGUAUGUUUAUUAUGCCUUGUGAUUUCUUUUCCCAUGUGUUCCAAUAUUUUGUUUGUUUCUUUAGUGCCUAUUGUUUUUGGUUUGUUAAAGCUGAAUUUAUAGCCUACUAUUCAUGCGUUUCUUUUAUUCGGUUUUGUGAGUUCUAAACUAUGAAAUUAUGAAACAUAUAGUUUAUCAGUUUGGGACUUGCUUUAGGAUAAAGAACGAAAGGAAGGAUUCUUAUUUCAUGAUGACACACAUGACUGUCAAACUUCAGAAAAUAUUGGAUUUAUGUACUGUAAAAUUAUCUUUGUUCCUAAUCCUGUAGGCUGUAGUUGGCCUUACUUUUGCUGGGAUAUUUCUUCCAAGUUUGAUAAAGUAACCUGCUAAAGCAUGAUCAACAAAUUAGUCUAACCAAUUAACAUCUAUCAUUAAUUGUGAGAACCAAGCCAAUGAAGAUGGGCAUGAAUCGGUCUUGUCAGAUUCUAUUAUUCGGUGCUUGCAUAUGUCCUAUUGCUGAUGCUCACAAAACUACAUGUAUCUUUUGCCAACAGAACUGUCGAUGAAUUGUAGAUUCAAAAAAUCAGUUUGGCAUAGCUCAAAACUAUCUGCCUUGACUCAUAUCAAGGUUGUUCAGUAUCAUGAAAUAAGAAACAUGCCCCUUGUGAAACCAUAUUUUGAAUUUCCAAUUUACAAAUUGGGUUUGUUUCUCGCGCUUUUUAUCUUUUAAAACAUCAUCAAAACUUUGGGCCAUAAUUAAUAGUAAGGUGCAAUCUCAGUCAUUUAGUUACAUGCUUCAGUUCAGACUUUGCAGAGCCAAAGCUAUUUUAUCAAUAUUCUCUGUUACCACGCCCGCAUUAGUAUGACAUGAGAGUUCGUAUGUUUUCAGUACACUUUGAGUGGGCUUAACCUUUUCUGUUGACAAAUCACUUUCUUGUCUAAAAAUACACCAAUGAUUAUUGAAGUUCGAGAGAGACAUUCUUUUUUAUUGUUUCCAGAUGAUCAAGAUAUGGCAAAGCCCUUCAUGGGAUUCAAGGGGAAGAUGCAACAUAUGUGGUGCCUUAUGUAAGCUAAGCCGGGUUAUUGGAACUAAUUGUUCUUCAGGUUAGCAUCACCUCAGAAUAUAACAUCAUCUAUGUUGAAGUGGUGUAUUUGUGCUACUCUUUACCCACCAUGGUCCAUGGUGAGUUGCUGCUUUGUUCCCAUCAAGGUGAGAUGUUUCUUCAUUACCUUCCUUGUCUCCUAUUGGAUUAAAGGUCUAGGAACUGAUCCAUGCUACAUUUCAUUCCCUACUCUCUUGUGCUAGAAACUUUUGGUUCUCUGUUGGUUGUUGGGUUUCUCCAUAUAUGCAUCUUGUUACAACAAGGUUGAAUGCCUUUUGUUGCCUUGCUCAUUUAGUGUUUGCGGAAAGAUCCAUGGGAUAAUGUGUUGGUGCAGAUAGACUGCCCGUAUGCAGAACCUAUCCUUAGAUUUUGUCUGGAAUAAUGUUUUCGUGCUUACAGUUCUUGUGGUGAUUUGUGCUGAAAAAUCUACGGGCUGAUGUAUUGGUGUGGUCAGCCUACCUGUGCAGAAUCUUUGUUUACAUUUUGUCAAAAUGUUGCGUUCUUGCUUAAUUUUCUCAUGGUGGUUUGGUCCUAUAGAUAAAUCAUGUGUGUGUGUGUGUGUAUGAUGUAUUGUGUCUGAUGCAUGUUUAUGUAGUUGUUCGAUGUAUGUCUAUGUAUAUCUCUAUUUAAUAAACCUGUAUAAUUAUAUAUGGUUAGAGCAGCAGAAUCAAAACUAAUUAUUGUCAUGCUAGAAUGGGUUCAAUGGUGUUUGCCUCCUGAGGUAUUGACAUGUUUUGCAACAUUCUAUUCAAAACAAGGUGGGGAGGGCUCCGGAUGGCAACAUGAGAGUAUAUCGAUAUUGCUUUAAGCUUGCUUCUUUCUUUGUUUGGUUCACGAGUUCCAGAUGCAUGCAGUGUGCAUUGGACAAUGUUGCGGAGGGUUCAAUUUCUUAUUUUUCAGAUUUUGCAGUAACAGGGAUGUGUAUAAUAGAAUUAACUGAAUUGGUGCUUACGGGUUUUGGUGCAUGACUUCUACUUGCUCAAUUAGUUAGCUGAACUAUUUGUUUAGAGAUUUCAGUGCGGAGUGAUCCUCCAGGAAAUGGCAAGAGAGUUAAAGUACCAUAUUAGACUAUUUUUGUGGCCUGUGGCUUUAGAGGCCGGGAAUUGGAGCACUUGUAGGAAGCCAUUCGGGUUAUAGAUAUCAUAUUGAGACAACACUCUGCCAAGCGGUAUGUUUGUUUCUAUGUACUUCUGGGUGCUAAUUCACCAUCUUGAUUUUGGCUGGGAGGUGUGACAUGGUGUGGCAUAUAGAGGUAAUUUGGUGUCCUCUCUCUUUGCCUCUUGCUUCCUCCAACACUCUGGUUUUGAUUGUGCUGAUGCUGCAGACAUUUUAACUUUGUAAGUAUGUUGUUAUAAUCAUACUUAUGUCUAGCCAAAUUCUAUAGGCUGGACCUUAUAAUUUUAUAAUCAUUAGACCCAAUCUUUGUAUCUACUUUGCCUCUUGUAGCUUGGUUAGCAAAAAAAUUGUGCUAAGGUGUUAGUGAUGGUUGUUCUACAUCUGAAGGCAACUUUAUUGCCCAUAAUCUGCAUCCUCUUUUCUUUGGAAAGAAAUACUCAUUUUGCUCUACUAAACUGAAAAUUCCACUUGAAAUUAUUUAUUUUUAUGAUAUAUGGUCGUGCAGCUGUAAUGUGAUCAGAAAUCAGUUAGUAAUGUUACACAUAAUUCACUCUCUUAAGCAUGUUUCUGUUGUAAUGGUUAGUUGUCACAGUGCAUGUAUUUGAGCCCAUCAUCAGGUUUCUAUUGUUGUUUAAAUUAAUUUUUUAGGAAACUAUUUGAUCUUCUAUAGGCCAUUUGUUCUCUAUUGUUUUUCUUUAGAAGUUUCUCCAUGAUGGUACUUUCCACCCGGAAGCCAGAAAAAGAAUCAAGGCCGGUGACCCUGCUUUUGUUCUAAUGGGCAUCCCUUCAUCGAAUGAAGCUUCAACCUGAGCAAGGGCAUGCUUGCAGAUGAUGUAUCUGUUUAAUGUUUGUUAGAAGAGGCGACCGCUUGGUUGAUUUUGUUUGCACGUUCUGUAAAAUAGACUUAGCAACAAAGCUUCGACAAUUUGUUCGCUGUCAUCUCCUUUUCAAACAAUAUACCAUGUUCUGGUUCUUUAA